UCCUCCCUCUGGCGGCGUGCCUAAUACAUGCAAGUCGAACGCUGAAGGAAGGAGCUUGCUCUUUCUGGAUGAGUUGCGAACGGGUGAGUAACGCGUAGGUAAACUGCCUGGUAGCGGGGGAUAACUAUUGGAAACGAUAGCUAAUACCGCAUAAAAUUGAUUAUUGCAUGAUCGUCGAUUAAAAGGUGCAACUGCCCCGCUACCAGAUGGACCUGCGUUGUAUUAGCUAGUUGGUGGGGUAACGGCUCACCAAGGCGACGAUACAUAGCCGACCUGAGAGGGUGAUCGGCCACACUGGUACUGAGACGCGGCCCAGACUCCUACGGGAGACAGCAGUAGGGAGUCUUAGGCAAUGGACGGAAGUCUGACCGAGCAACGCCGCGUGAGUGAAGAAGGUUUUCGGAUCGUAAAGCUCGGUUGUAAGAGAAGAACGAGUGUGAGAGUGGAAAGUUCACACUGUGACGGUAUCUUACCAGAAAGGGACGGCUAACUACGUG
rnacentral:rRNA from 1 species